rnacentral:rRNA from 1 species
AAACAAGUACCGUGAGGGAAAGUUGAAAAGAACUCUGAAGAGAGAGUUAAAUAGUACGUGAAACUGGUUAGGUGGAAUCGGAUAGAGCAAUCGAAAGAUGGUUACAAUGAGUCGAUCGGGUGUUGGCUUCGGCUCAGCGCUCGGUUGAUGCACUUGUGACUCGUUGCGCCGGCACGGCUGAUGGUGCCGUUGGAAGUGGGUCUAGAGGAGCUGCUCUUCGGAGGGGCAAACCUGGGCUCAUGGAAAACGCGUUGCUGUUAGUCGGAGUUGCGUUCGCACGGUACCGCGAAGAGUUCGCUAUGAACGUUGUUGUCGGGUUGGUGUCUUCGCGUGCGAGGGCCCUUUUCGAUGGCGCCGCUCAUGGUGUUACGAUCCGUGGUGCUUGCCGGUGUACAAACUGAUUGUCACCUAUCCGUCCCGUCUUGAAACACGGACCAAGGAGUUUAUCGCAUAUGCGAGUUAUUGGGUGAUGAAAACCUAAUGGCGUAAUGAAAGUAAAGGUUUCGCUUGCGGAGCUGAUAUGUGAUCCGGGUGCCUUUCGAGGCUUCGGCGCAGCAUAGCCCCAUCUCUAAUGCUUGCAUUGGGGUGGAGGAAGAGCAUAUACGAUGAGACCCGAAAGAUGGUGAACUAUGCCUGGGCAGGAUGAAGCCGGAGGAAACUCUGGUGGAAGUCCGUAGCGGUUCUGACGUGCAAAUCGAUCGUCUGACCUGGGUAUAGGGGCGAAAGACUAAUCGAACCAUCUAGUAGCUGGUUCCU